rnacentral:lncRNA from 1 species
GAAAAUAGCAGGGAACCAAAUUUCGAAUUUUCAGAAGUCCAAAUCCAACUCAAUCACUACCAACACAAUUCCAAGAGCCACGAAAGAGUUUCUCACCUAAGGAAUUCCAGUUGCAAUUAAAUUCAACAUCAAAAGAGGAAUCACAAGCCAAAUUAAAAAGGGAUUUCAAAACCCUAGAAGGAUGGAAUUCUUCAGCUAUAAAA